rnacentral:lncRNA from 1 species
UGGGGGUCUAAAAGAACUGAUAGCAGACACCUGGUUCAACAUCUGAAGAUCAACUGAGCAUGUGCCUGAAAAGCAACCUGUGACUGUGAGUCAAUCACCUUACCCCAUAAAUAGGAGCAGCAGGUGAUCCCCCUUUGACCUUCCCUGUAUAGCAGCUAGUUGUGUGGUAGCAGCUUCUCUUGAGCAUGGACACCUCUUAUUAAUUGAAACAUGCAUAUCUGAGUUAAAACUGGAUCUGGCUACAGUGAUGGAGUAAAGCUAGAGCUAUGUUUUAACUGUGAGGAGUGUUCAGUACUGAAGUGCUAGCUGAACUGAUGCCACUCAGGAACUGUACUGAGGAGAGACGAGUUGAAAGGAUAAGCCAGAUUCUAAGGCUUCAAAUGGAAAAUACGCACCCAAAUUUAAAUUACAAAACCAGAAAAAAAGAGCUACCUAUAUUUUCACCAGAAAUGCUUCUAUGUAAAAUUCUGCUUCAGGGCCUGGCUAGUUAUUGCUGAAGUUUGAACAGAUAGACUCUUCAGCUUCCUUUACCUGCAUUCAGCUCAGGGUGUGAAGAAAGCCCCCUCCCAGCCCUUGUCACAAGGAGCAAGUAACAUAAAUUGCAUCAGCACUGACUGGAGCCAAGAAGGAAAUGUGGUCUGAUCUCAGAUGAGUGCCCUAACCAUUACACUAUAGAUUCUCUCUGGUCCAGUGAUUUUAAUUAUUCCAUUUGAAAGCCAAGCAGGAGGUAGAGAGAAUGCCUUGUGCCAAAGUUGGCAGGAGUAUGCUGUCUGCUGCACUUUGCCAUCGGGCUGCUUGCAGCCUCUCAAGCAC